rnacentral:tRNA from 1 species
AGAGGGUAGUUUAAUUAAAAAUAUUAAUUUUGGAAAUUAAAGAAGGGCUAUAAAGUUUUUCUCUGAA